UACGUAGGGUGCGAGCGUUGUCCGGAAUUAUUGGGCGUAAAGAGCUUGUAGGCGGUCUGUCGCGUCUGCUGUGAAAAUCCGGGGCUCAACCCCGGACUUGCAGUGGGUACGGGCAGACUAGAGUGUGGUAGGGGAGACUGGAAUUCCUGGUGUAGCGGUGAAAUGCGCAGAUAUCAGGAGGAACACCGGUGGCGAAGGCGGGUCUCUGGGCCGUAACUGACGCUGAGGUGCGAAAGCGUGGGGAGCAAACAGG
rnacentral:rRNA from 1 species